UGUCCUCCAAUUUUGAGAUUGUUGCCAC
rnacentral:sRNA from 1 species